CUCCAGACUCCUACGGGAGGCAGCAGUGGGGGAUAUUGCACAAUGGGGGGAACCCUGAUGCAGCGACGCCGCGUGGGUGAAGGAGUGCUUCGGCAUGUAAAGCCCUAUCGGCAGGGAAGAAGCAAGACGGUACCUGACUAAGAAGCCCCGGCUAACUACGUGCCAGCAGCCGCGGUAAUACGUAGGGGGCAAGCGUUAUCCGGAUUUACUGGGUGUAAAGGGCGUGUAGCCGGGAAGGCAAGUCAGAUGUGAAAUCCGGAGGCUCAACCUCCGAAUUGCAUUUGAAACUGUUUUUCUUGAGUACUGGAGAGGCAGACGGAAUUCCUUGUGUAGCGGUGAAAUGCGUAGAUAUAAGGAGGAACACCAGUGGCGAAGGCGGCUUACUGGACUGUAACUGACGUUGAGGCUCGAAAGCGUGGGGAGCAAACAGGAUUAGAUACCCUAGUAGC
rnacentral:rRNA from 1 species